rnacentral:rRNA from 1 species
ACGAACGCUGGCGGCAUGCCUAACACAUGCAAGUCGAACGAGACCUUCGGGUCUAGUGGCGCACGGGUGCGUAACGCGUGGGAACCUGCCCUUAGGUUCGGAAUAACUCCCCGAAAGGGGUGCUAAUACCGGAUAAUGUCUUCGGACCAAAGAUUUAUCGCCUUUGGAUGGGCCCGCGUUGGAUUAGCUAGUUGGUAGGGUAAAAGCCUACCAAGGCGACGAUCCAUAGCUGGUCUGAGAGGAUGAUCAGCCACACUGGGACUGAGACACGGCCCAGACUCCCACGGGAGGCAGCAGUGGGGAAUAUUGGACAAUGGGCGAAAGCCUGAUCCAGCAAUGCCGCGUGAGUGAUGAAGGCCUUAGGGUUGUAAAGCUCUUUUACCCGGGAUGAUAAUGACAGUACCGGGAGAAUAAGCUCCGGCUAACUCCGUG